AUGGCUCAGGACGAACGCUGGCGGCGUGCUUAACACAUGCAAGUCGAACGGAAAGGCCCAGCUUGCUGGGUACUCGAGUGGCGAACGGGUGAGUAACACGUGGGUGAUCUGCCCCUGACUUUGGGAUAAGCCUGGGAAACUGGGUCUAAUACCGAAUAUUCAUUUUUCCUCGCAUGGGGAUUUGUGGAAAGCUUUUGCGGUUGGGGAUGGGCCCGCGGCCUAUCAGCUUGUUGGUGGGGUAAUGGCCUACCAAGGCGACGACGGGUAGCCGACCUGAGAGGGUGAUCGGCCACACUGGGACUGAGACACGGCCCAGACUCCUACGGGAGGCAGCAGUGGGGAAUAUUGCACAAUGGGCGCAAGCCUGAUGCAGCGACGCCGCGUGAGGGAUGACGGCCUUCGGGUUGUAAACCUCUUUCAGCUCCGACGAAGCGCAAGUGACGGUAGGAGCAGAAGAAGCACCGGCCAACUACGUGCCAGCAGCCGCGGUAAUACGUAGGGUGCAAGCGUUGUCCGGAAUUACUGGGCGUAAAGAGCUCGUAGGCGGUUUGUCGCGUCGUCUGUGAAAUUCUGCAGCUUAACUGCAGGCGUGCAGGCGAUACGGGCAGACUUGAGUACUACAGGGGAGACUGGAAUUCCUGGUGUAGCGGUGAAAUGCGCAGAUAUCAGGAGGAACACCGGUGGCGAAGGCGGGUCUCUGGGUAGUAAC
rnacentral:rRNA from 1 species